AUCGUUUUUAUGUAAUUUCAACUAUACCCUUAUCUCCUAAAUUAUUCCAAAACACAAAGCCUAACAGAGGCCAUAUACACUCCAUUGCAGCAACGGCAGUUGAAGCUUCCUCUUUUUUUCCCAUGGAGACUCUGCUUCGAUUUUGCAUUCGACCUCUAUUAUCUCAUGGAUUCGAGGUAUUUUCUUGCAAUUUCUCUAUGUUUCUUUUGUUUUUCCCCCGAUUAAUCCCUUUCGGUCCCAGGAAUGCUCUUUCUAUUUCCCUUCGAAGCAGCUCUCUUCCUCCUGCUGGAACGUGGUCUCCCGUCGGAACGUCAUCUCUUCGCAGCUCUCCAAUUUGAAAAUCCUACUGCAUUAUCAAAGGACUUAGGGAUUUCAUUAAUAGCUACAAAAGAAGGAAAUUUUCUCGAAGCUGAGAGGAUUUUCUUGGGAGGUCCAAAAAGUGCAGGAAAAUUUUUUCAGUGUACCGAGAGAAGGGGAAGGAGGAGGAGGAGGAGGAAGAGAGAGCGUGACGAGAGUGUCUUUGAAUUUAGGUGGCUCCACCAGAUUGAGAACGAGGUCGGACCUUUUCUUGGUGGUGUGUAAGUGCUUCAGCAUCUUGACUUCCUCUACAGUUGUUCUCUGUAUUGCUGUUAAUGUUCUCUCCGCCAUUCGAUCUUUCAAGGACAGAUAUGAUUGUAGGUUUUCGAUGGGAUAUUUCGGUGUUAUGAGGUUUUGAUUGCAGCUUUUGUGGUUCUAGAUGAGACAGAGUGGGAACUCAUCAUCAAGUUCUGGAAGGGGUAGCCAAGUCUGAGCUUAUCUAACCAGAUCAUGCAGGAGUGCUUUCCACUGGUCCGCUGAGAAUUUAUUUGCUAGUGUUGUUGGUUUGUAUCAGCAUGAUUCUAUAUCAGAUACAGAUCCAGUGUACUUGUCCAAGAAUCGAUGGAUAUAUAAGGUUGAGUUGGCAAGUUAUGUAAAGCAGCUUUAUGCACAAACCUCUGAAUCAGCUAGUUAUGUAUGGCACGACAUUGGUCUUCCAACAAGUAGGAUGCUUGUUUGGUACAAGUCAACAUUCUCAGCUCCUCUUGGUACUGAUCCAGUUGUGGUUGAUUUGAUGGGAUUGGGAAAAGAAAAAGCUUGGAUAAAUGUCAGAGCCUUGGAAGGUAUUGGCAAAAUUUUGAAGCCAAUGAAGAUGGUUGCAGUUAUAUUUGUAGUUAUCGUGGAGCAUACAAUAGUAGUAAGUGUAAUACCCCGUCCCAAAUCGCACCGGAAUCCGUGCAAGUUGACUUUUUGCUCCAGUUGGAAUUUCGAGUUGACCAGGGUACCGUGGCGAAGUGCAUGAUGCCCCGAGUUCGUAGACUAGUAGCACGUCAAAAACGAAGCUACGGUUUGAAAGUUAUGGGCGAAACAAGUCGAAGUGCAAACAGUCCAAAAGGUGCCGGGAGUUGACUUUUUCUUGUGGUGUAAUUUUAAGUUGACUCUUGUAUGGUUGUAAAGUACUCGUCGAUACGAGUUCAUAGACUAGCGGCACGCUUAAAUCGGAUAUUUGGUUAAAAAGUUAUGGACGUUUAAAAUUCGCCGGAUACCGUAUUAUUUUAUUAUAUUUGGCUUAAGUGCACAGUGACGCCGUGUCAGGUUCUGAUUGGUCCACGUGGCAUGAACAGUGUCACACGGGGUUUUUAUUUGAUAAAAUUCUCGGGGAAGAGAGAGAAAGAGAGAGAGGAGAGAGUCCGACCGGCGUCGGAAUUUUUCAAAUUUUCCGGCCGAAUUACUGUACACGCGCUGGCCAGCAAGAUUCCCCUCCCCAUUUCCGGCAAAACCUCAAAUUUUCACGGCGAUCGGCCGCCGGUCCUGUUGGAUUGCUCUCCCCACGAUCUACAAAUCUGCAAAAAAUCAUAGCCAACGGCCAUCGCACGUGCCGCCGCCGGCGACGGUUGCCCGUGACUGCGGCGACGGUUGCCCGUGACUGCGGCGGCUCGCCGGAAGUUACUGUUCCGGCGAGUACCCAGUCUUCCGGUCGGCUCCAGUCCACUGUGUUCGACCUCCUGAACCCGAAUCCGGCAUCCGUUUCCGCCAAUUCGCGACGGUUUGGGAGAAUUGCGGAGCCGAAACCCGAAAAGCUUUCAAGCGAAAUUUCGACCCCGUCGGGUACGAUCAUCGAAAAUUAAGACCGAAUCUGUGAUCAGCAUCACUCGAGCUUUGAUUCGGUGCACGUGCGAGUAGCGGAGUCGAUCCUACGGAGGAUCUUGAUUGAGAUUCGGGCUUAAGGUGAGUGAUCCACCUUCAAAUUGAUUUUGGGAAUUUAAUUGGUGAAUAUUAUGUGAGAUUUAAAUAUUGGAAUUUAAAUUCUAUGUGCCAAGUAAAUAUUUGAUUUAUUGUGGAAUUAUUUGUGAAAUUAUUGGAUUUAAGAAAAUGUGCAUUUUACAAAUUUAUGCCAUGUGAAAUUAUUUUAUAGGUUCGAGAAUUUUGAAAUUCUUGUGGUUUUAAUAUUAAAUUGGGCAUGAUUUGAUUUUCAAAUAUUUCAAAGAAAAUAUUUGGUUAUGUUGGUGAUUUCAAUUUUUAUAAAAAUGCCCAUGGAAUAUUAUGAGAUUUAAUUAUUAUAUUUUGAGAACUAUUUGUGCUAUUGGGAAAAUGUGGAUAUUUGAAAUGGUGGAUUUGGGAGUUAGUGGAUUUGAAAAUCAUGGAAUUUAUGGUGUUGAUUAUAAAGAAAUUGUGGGGAAUUUCCCGGUUCAAGCGGAUGGAAUAUACCUGCUGUGUUUAUGCAAAAUGUGAAAUUUGUUAUAUAAUUUAAAUAUGUGGAUUUUAUGAUUUUUAGAUGCAUCGUGCACGUACUGGUGUUCUGAUUAUAUGUGAUAUGGUUAGUGUGCACACGGUUAUGAUUAGCGCGCAGGUGGGUGUGAAUAGCGCGCAGGUGAUAUUAUGAGGUUGUCCUGUGGUUGCCAUCGGAUGAGGGUGGCCACCCCUCCAUGGUCGGGACACCAGGUUAGCAGCGGUGCAGUGGGACGCCACGCGGCCGUAUGCCGGUUUCUUUCUAUAACCUCCUGUCUGGCGGUACCUCGGGACGCUGGGUACUGUUGGCACCACUGGUAUAUAGUGGGUGCAUCAAAUGAUUUUCAGAACUGUGUUUUAAAAAUAAAAUGUUUUAAAACUGUAUUGGGAUUAAAAAUAUAAUUAUUACCGUUUCUGGUAUUUAUUUGAUGUCUUGGUUUUCGGGGAAUACGAAUAAAGGGUUUUGUGAAAAUGUUUUAAAAGGGAAACUUUUCCAACUGAGAGAAUUGUAAGGGUUUUGAGAGAAAUUAUUAUUUUCCAAUUAAUUAUUAUCUAUCUACUGUAUUACCGUGGUAUUAUAUUGUAUAGUAGAUAGGGUCACUCACUGAGAUGAUUAGCAUCUCACACUCUUAAAUUCCGUUCCCCUAGGUCCAGGUUGGAGACGUUGAUUGUCCUGGGUGAGCCCAACGUCUCAGUUCAUUGCCGAAGGUUUAAGAAGUUUUUUUUCUUCCCUUUUUCCUCUCUAUCUUGUAUUGCUUCCUUAUUUGUCAUUGUAUAAAUUCCGCAUGUAUCUGUAUAAUGCUC